CAGCAAUAUAAGAAUUGAAGGCAUGCCAGAGCAGGAACCUGAACUUAGCUAUAACUUGCAAUGCUGUGUUGGUUCCAGAAGAACCUGCAGGAGUCAAGAAAUAGGGAUUAAGUGGCAAAGGGGCAGACUGGAAAGGAAAGGAAGAGAGAGAUGAAACAGAUGGAAAAUGGCAAGGACAGGAGACCAAAAUCCUCAAAUAACAGCAGUUGAAGAAAGAACAGUCCCUCUAAAGACAAGGCUAAUUUGUUUUCCAGUGAGAGGUGAAAACCUGCCUCAAUUUGCUUCAGAUUCCUCCAAGAUAAUGACUUAUGUUUUCUUGUCCCAAUUAACCACUGGCUGAUUCUGAGAAGACCAACAUUCAUUCACAUAACUCUCUAUUCCACUGAUAACCUCCUGGCACAGAUGUGUCAGAGAAAUGCCGGAUCAAUGCUGAAUCAAGUACAGAACUAAAAAGGAAGCCUUUUGUCUAAUUCUUAUUUCUCAAGUAAGAUCAUUUUAAGACUCUUUGUGCUUUCCUUGGUGUGCAUAUUCUUUCCACGAGGGCAGAUCACAACCCUGCUUCUGUUAAGCACACAGUUUCAUGAAUCCCUAUAAUUGAAAACAAUAUAUCAUCUCUUAGACUACCUUUCUGAGCUUAUGUGUGAUGUAGAAUGUCACCAUGUCCAUUCUCAACACUUUACAACUUGGUAUAUUCUGCCAGAAUUUGUGUAAUUUUGGGGGUAGUAUUCAAGGAUCAUCCCUUUGCCUAAGACACUGGAGGCAUUAGAGGAUUCCUGAUAAUUUUUCUAAAUCCAAACUAAGGAUUUAUGUUUUCUUGCCCUAUUUAACUAGAAGAUCAGCAUUUGCUCACAUAAUUAAACCUCUAUUUUACUGAUAAUCUCCAGGGAUAGAUGUGGCAGAGAAAAAGUAGGAUCAAUGUAGAUUCAAGUAUAAAAUUUAAAAGAAAGUUUUAACUAUAUCCCUCCCUCUCCUACAUUUCUCAUUUCUCAUACACUUUAACAUUUUUGCCUUUGAAUCCCCAGUCUACAACAAUGACUGACACAUAGGUGCUUAAUGAAAACCUGUUGACUGCUCAAUAAAUUGAUUCAGCCAUUUGAAAUCAAGAAGUGAUUUGUAGCAAUUUAUAAAUUAUAAAAUCUCAUACUGAAAAUUUUACAAUCAGUUCUAGUGAGUCAGUUUGAGCUGCUCCCAGAACCACCCCACCUCCCUCCUCUUGUAUAUUCAAGGUAAUGCAGUAGAGACUAUCUAAACUUCUUUAUGGGACAUGUACUUAAGAUUAUACCAUUUUUGUACUAGGCUCCUCUAUACAGGAGUAUGUUUUUCUACUAGACAUUAUCACAUUGUUUCAUCCUCCAUUGGUAGACUCUGAUCCAAAUAGGGGUCCUGUUUCAAAAAUAGGCAGCUCAUAUUUAUAUAGUAUUUUACAGUUUCUAAAGGGCUUUACAUAUA